rnacentral:rRNA from 1 species
GGUGUAUAGUUAAUAGCAUUACACUGUGACGUUAGCUACAGAAGAAGCACCGGCAAACUCCGUGCCAGCAGCCGCGGUAAUACGGAGGGUGCGAGCGUUAAUCGGAAUUACUGGGCGUAAAGCGCGCGUAGGCGGUUAUUUAAGUGAGGUGUGAAAUACCCCUGGGCUCAACCUAGGAACUGCAUUUCAAACUGGAUAACUUGAGUAUGUCAGAGGGUAUUGGAAUUUCCCCGUGUAGCAGUGAAAUGCGUAGAUAUGGGAAGGAACAUCAGUGGCGAAGGCGAAUACCUGGGAUAAUACUGACGCUGAGGUGCGAAAGCGUGGGGAGCAAACGGGAUUAGAUACCCCUGGUAG